UACAGAGGGUGCAAACGUUGUUCGGAAUUACUGGGCGUAAAGCGCGUGUAGGCGGUCUGAAAAGUCGGGUGUGAAAGCCCCGGGCUCAACCCGGGAAGUGCACUCGAAACUGCCAGGCUAGAGCAUCGGAGAGGUUGGUGGAAUUCUCGGUGUAGAGGUGAAAUUCGUAGAUAUCGAGAGGAACACCGGUGGCGAAGGCGGCCAACUGGACGAAAACUGACGCUGAGACUCGAAAGCGUGGGGAGCAAACAGG
rnacentral:rRNA from 1 species